GACGUAGGGCGCGAGCGUUGUCCGGAUUUACUGGGCGUAAAGAGCGCGCAGGCGGUCGUCCAAGUCGCGUGUGAAAGCCCCCGGCUCAACUGGGGAGGGUCACGCGAUACUGGUCGACUCGAAGGCAGGAGAGGGUAGUGGAAUUCCCGGUGUAGUGGUGAAAUUCGUAGAUAUUCGCAAGAACACCAGUGGCGAAGGCGGCUCACUGGCCCGAUACUGACGCUGAGGCACGAAAGCGUGGGGAGCAAACAGG
rnacentral:rRNA from 1 species